GCAGGGAGAACAGAGACUGGGGCGGAGCUCCGACCAGGAGUGGGUGGUCGGGGUCAGGCCGACACUGCCAGCCAGGAUCGCAGGGGGGACCUCCCGCACCAGCUGGUUCAAGCGAAGCACGCGAGCAGGAGGAGCAGAGCACAAAGCAGACGGCACCGCUGGGGCAGAACGGAGAGAACAGGGAGGGUAGACCGGGAGAGAUUGGAGAGAGAGAUGUUCAAGUGGGAAUCGGUGAGAGUCCGGAGGAGGGAUGGUAAACGGAGAGUGAAACGUCCAAGCGACUGAGAGAGCAAGAGAGGGCGCUUCGGCUCUGCGCAGACAUGUCCGAGGAUCUUCCCGGCGACGUCCUCAAGCCGAACAGGCUUCCAAUGCACCUUUUGGCCUAGAGAAAGGUAGGCACCUUCAAAGAAGAAAAGAAGGCCUAACAUGAACAUGAAGGGCACGUCACAUACACCAAGAUGACCUGCCUGGCGAUCCCGCAAUCCUAGGUGUUGGUCAACCAGAAGGGCGACCAUGAUCGAAGCCCCAUGCAAGAAGCAGGCAAGUCAUCCUUGGCUAAUAAACAGGACUCAUCACCUCAUGUAAGGCCUCUCUUCCUCACAAAAAUGUUUCAAUUCCUCUCAGUGUGUGAUGUGAUGAAUGAAAAGGACAGACAAAGUUGUAUCUUCGUGGAGUGGUCGCUCUUAGGAGGAAGAAGCCUAACAUGAAAGAUAAGAGACUUUCUGAUUAGCCAAGGAGACUACCUGAUACUAGGUACAAACUAUUCGAGCCAUCAGUUUAGCUCGAAUAGAUCGACUUCGAAGCAGGCAAGUCAUCCUUGGCUACCAAAUGAGUCUCUUGUCUUCAUGUUAGCCUCUCUUCUUCUUCUUCCACUCAAGUCCAAUGCUUCAAUUUUUUGCUUGCACUCUUGUCUCUAUUUAUAGGGAGUGGAACAGACCAAGAGAUCAGGUUCCAAGGCCCACCAAUAUUUUUGUAGGACCGGCUUUAGUCAAUUUGCCCCAUACAAAUCUUCUCUUUUGAAUUUUUCUUUCUUUCUGAUGAGCCUGCAAUAAUUCUGAUCACUCUCUUAGCUUUGACAAGCUCCCCAUAUUAGAUUCUAUUCUUUGUAUGAGCACGUCUUACAGGUGCGUAAUGAUCACUGAACCGAGCAAAAGAGCCCGCCCAAUAUCUUUGAGAAGAUAUCAACGGAUGGCAAUAAAUCAGGUAUACUUGGUUAAGGUCAAUAUUUUUACGCGUUAGUUACAUUUCACCAAAAAAAAAAAAAAAAAAAAAAAAGAGCUUCCCACGUAUCUCUUGAAUGUUGAGGCAUUUCACGGACCAAACCCAGCUUGCCAAUGAACUGUAUCAGAUGAUUUUUUGAGAUAUUAGUCUGAAUAAGAUGAUUACAAUGAGGUCUUACAUGAUCCAGACUUUGAACUUAGUAUUUACUAGUAUGUGGGAACCGCUUGAAUGUGCCGACGCCAGAUAAGAGCACCGAAAAGAAAAGAUGAUGGACAAAUCCUGCAGAAUAAGGUUACUAUUUUGGUCCAUAAAACCAAAGAUAGCCAUGCGGCUUUUAGUUUGAAUCCAGAGACAAUUUGAUUCUCUCUAUACGCGACUCUUAUCAUCAACGAUGGGUUUAUGGGCAUCUCUGUUUCUGCCCUUCACAAUGCCUCCACAUGGAAUGUUUCUGACUGUUCUCCCUCAAAAGCAUCUAAUCCAAAAGGUUCUUGUUCUGAAGUGGGAUGCUUGACUAGAGUUGAAUUCUACUAUUAAGCCAUCUUUUUUCAGCGAGAGAAUUCUGGGCAAGCAGUCUGACCGAUCCCCUCAUCCUUCAAUUCUUUCUUUUCUUAUUUGUGGGUUCGUACACGAUCCAAAUGGCAUGGAGGAAUCAACUUGCAAAAUCAACUUGCGAAAGAUGCCCUCCGGAGGAAAAGUCAAUGGCUCUGCAUGGCAUGGAGAAAUCAACUUGCGAGAUGCCCUCCGGAGGAAAAGUCAAUGACUCCGCCACUAACCAUAAGGGCUCCUUUUUCGGUGCUGCUUGACUUUGCUCAAUUGGCUUCCAUCUUGCACUUUUCUUUGGAUUGCAAUCCCUCCAAAAGAAAUACCCUGAUGGAGACCGGUUGAAUUACAUGCCGUGGACUGCAAAUAUGGUCAUCAAUCAGAGUGAGAAUAUCACAAAAAAGGCAAAAAAGAAUGCAAUUCUUUUGAUAGUCGGCACUCUCUCAUUCUCUUGUGAAAUUUUUAAAUUUGGAAGGCACAGAGAUUUUUCUGUGCGUAGCUCCCCAAGCGCAGCUCAGGAAAGGUUUUUUGAAUUCAGGUUCCUAGAGAUCUGUCUAGAGCUUCUAAACGGAGAGAUAAAGAGAAACGCUUGUAGUAGGAUGGUUCAGAAUUGUGGUACGAGAGCGUGCAUCGACACUGAAUUAGGCCUUCAUUUCUCCAAUGGGAGAGCAUUAGUGAAGAAAUGGUUGUCAAAGCAGAGAACCUUUUGGUUCUGGUAUGGUAAAGAGAUGAGCAUGUUUAGAGAAGUCGGAACCCAUGAAUGUGGCCAAGACAAGUGUAAUUGAAAAUCAUUUCAUGAUAAGAUUUGAGAAUCAUUUCAGGGUAAGCUUUUAUCUUGUCCGUGGGCCAAUGAAAAAGUUAGUUUCCAUGACUGUUGCCUGAAUAGUGCGAUGUAUACUCCUAUAGUUGAUUAGAUCGAUUUAUUCAUUAGCAGAUGAAUUACAGAUGGUCCCGACUUAUCUAUUA